GAUGAACGCUGGCGGCGUGCCUAAUACAUGCAAGUCGAGCGAACAGACGAGGAGCUUGCUCCUCUGACGUUAGCGGCGGACGGGUGAGUAACACGUGGAUAACCUACCUAUAAGACUGGGAUAACUUCGGGAAACCGGAGCUAAUACCGGAUAAUAUAUUGAACCGCAUGGUUCAAUAGUGAAAGACGGUUUUGCUGUCACUUAUAGAUGGAUCCGCGCCGCAUUAGCUAGUUGGUAAGGUAACGGCUUAACAAGGCAACGAUGCGUAGCCGACCUGAGAGGGUGAAUCGUCAAACCGGAAAUGAGAAAAGGUACCAACUCCUAAGGGGGGAAGCAGUAGGGAAUCUUUCGCAAUGGGCGAAAGCUUGACGGAGCAAAGCCGGGUGAGUUAUGAAGGUCUUCGGAUCGGAAAACUUUGUUAAUAGGGAAGAACAAAUGUGUAAGUAACUAUGCACGUCUUGACGGUACCUAAUCAGAAAGCCACGGCUAACUACGUG
rnacentral:rRNA from 1 species